GAUGAACGCUGGCGGCGUGCUUAACACAUGCAAGUCGAGCGAAAAGAGGAGGUGGUUGCCUGUCUGACGUUGGCGGCGUAAGGGAUAGUAACAAGUGGAUAACCUAGUUGUAAGUCUGUGCUAACUAGGGGAAACAGUAGCUAAUACGGGCUAAUAUAUUGAACAGGAUGCCUCCAUAGCGUAAGCCGGUUUUGCUGUCACUGGUAGAUGGAUUCGCGACGCAUUUGCUAGUUGGUAAGGUAACGGCUUACCAAGGCGACGAUGCGUAGCAGGCCUGAGAGGGCGACCGGCCACACUGGGACUGAGACACGGCCCAGACCCCUACGGGAGGCAGCAGUAGGGAAUCUUGCGCAAUGGGCGAAAGCCUGAUGGAGCAACGCCGCGUGAAGGAUGAAGGACUUCGGAUCGUAAAACGCUGUUGUAAGGGAAGAACAAAUGUGUAAGUAACUAGGAAGGUCAUGACGGUACCUAAUCAGAAAGCCCCGGCUAACUACGUG
rnacentral:rRNA from 1 species